UAUAAAUAUAAAAGAAAAUAAAGGGGAAAGGAUAAAAGGAAAUUGGGCAUCUCCUUCUCUCCAUCGUCAACAACACAGAAGACCAUCUCCUAAACUAACAAUCACCAGAAGACCAUCUCCCAUCUUCUCUCAACCUCCCAACCAAACUAACAAUCACCAGAAGAGAGAGUGGGCAGCGACUGUUCGGCGGCGGUAGAGAGAGAGGGCGGCGACUGUUCAAGCAAGGCGGCGCCACCGCCACUACGGUGACGAUGAUGAUUAUGAUGAUACGCGAUAAAGAUGAUGAUACGAGAUGGCGAAGAUGGUGAUAUUGAAGAUGAUGAUGAUGACUGUGGUUGACCGGUGACCAAUCCCCGACGGCGCCGGUAGUGACCGCCGGAGUUCCAGUAGUAGUGGUGAUGCGGGGGUUAUGGUUUUGACGGAAGUAGUCUUUGGUGGUUCGAGUUUAGGUUUGUUUCGGGUUCACUUCGAUUUAGGGAGGUUCAUCUCGGUUCGGUUCAAGCCCCAAUUCCGGGUCAACUCAAUUAACGUCAUACUUGUUCGGUCAACUAAAGUCAACCGGUCAACUGGUCAAAGAUGGUCAAACUGCCGAUCAACAGCAGUCAACGACGGUCAAAGCCAGACCCAGUAAAAGUUUAAACGGCGCGAAAUCUUAUUAGUUUUAAAUUAUUACCGUGCAAAACGAGCUCGAACCAAAUAAUUUGCGGAAUUAUUAGUUAAAAUUUA